CAGGUCUGCGGCCAAGUCAACAUCAAGGGCUUCACCAAAAAAGGGUCAUGGCGGCAGGCCAAAGAAGAAGGCAGCCUCCACAAGCAAGGCCAAGGGCUCAAGCAAACGGGCCCAGCAGAAUGCCAAAAAGGGAGCCGCAAAGAGCUGUGCCCAAACCGAAGCCCAGUCCUCGGCUAGAUCUUCCUAAGUCCAGCAGCCCACAAGUCACCUAGUCACAAGUCACCUAGUCAAGACAAGGACAGUGCCGUCUGCAUCAAAGCUAAAGAAUGCAGUUUUUUCAUAGGCAUCAUUUGUGUAUUCAUGGCAUCGACACCGGUGUAUCAAAUGCAUGGAGAGUUUUUAUUUAAGAUUUCAAUAAAGUGUGUAUUCCUUUUAGUGCAGGAGACAGA